rnacentral:rRNA from 1 species
UACGUAGGGGGCAAGCGUUAUCCGGAUUUACUGGGUGGAAAGGGAGCGUAGACGGAACAGCAAGUCAGAUGUGAAAGGCAGGGGCUCAACCCCUGGACUGCAUUUGAAACUGUUGAUCUGGAGUGUCGGAGAGGUAAGUGGAAUUCCUAGUGUAGCGGUGAAAUGCGUAGAUAUUAGGAGGAACACCAGUGGCGAAGGCGACUUACUGGACGAUAACUGACGUUGAGGCUCGAAAGCGUGGGGAGCAAACAGG